UCCCGGCUGGCUCAGUCGGUAGAGCGUGGGACUCUUGAUCCCAGGGUUGUGAGUUCGAGCCCCACGUUGGGUG